CGAUGCUUCAUCCUCUCGAGUCUCUGACUCGCCUUGUCGACGUCCCUUCUGCCCUGGCUGCCACUGCUGCAGACGAUGGCGCCUGGCCCGACCCAGUACCGGUCCCUGAGGUUGACCAAUUCUUUCUCCAGAGAGCCAAGAUCGAGUGGCAGCCACGACAGUGUGGGGCUGAGUCCAAACUCCAGAGGCUUAGAUCGGCAACUGGUGGGAUCAUGCGAUGAGUGAAGUCAAGGAAGACAGACGGACAUGGCACAAG